GACGAACGCUGGCGGCGUGCCUAAUACAUGCAAGUCGAACGCAGUGGGGACGGGUGAGUAACACGUGGGUAACCUCCCAUCAGAGGGGAUAACACUUGGAAACAGGUGCUAAACCGAUACUGAUGGAUGGACCCGCGGUGCAUUAGCUAGUUGGUGAGGUAACGGCUCACCAAGGACACGACGCAUAGCCGACCUGGAGGGGGGAUCGGCCACACUGGGACUGAAACACGGCGCAAGGUCCUAUGGGAGGGAGCAGUAGGGAAUCUUCGGCAAUGGACGAAAGUCUGACCGAGCAACGCCGCGUAAGUGAAGAAGGUUUUCGGAUCGUAAGACUCUGUUGUUAGAGAAGCGGUAUCUAACCAGAAAGCCACGGCUAACUACGUGACAGCCGCCGCGGUAAUAC
rnacentral:rRNA from 1 species